AUUGCCAAACCUUUUUCCUUUACAUAUUCUUCUACCUCUUCUCUGUCUAAUUGUCUAUUCGCUUCAACACAACACCUUCUCUGGUGAAAAUUCCCUUCUUCUUUUUUCUCUGUUGACAGACACCACUUCAACUUGCCUCAUGCCUCACUUCAACUUGUAUUCAUAUUUUGAAGGCAUCGCAAGUAAAAAAAAAAACCUACUUUUAUUAUUAUCGCCCUUGGAUUUAUACAAAAAGAUGACUAGGGAGCAAAGCAAAAGUGCUGGGGAAUCGGUGCUAAAAAUCCAAUUGGAAAUUGGGAAUUUGGUGACGGUUGGAAGAAGUCAAGCCUAUCAACCAUGCUUGAUGUGCGUUAAUAUCGACUGAAAUUACAUGAAAUGGUUUUUUAAUCAGUACUUUUAUAAGGUGUAUAUAAUGCCCUUUAAGAAACAAAAUUUAGAUUUUGAAGUCUUCUGCUCUUGUUGAAAAUUAUGUCUAUCAUGAGCAAUUCUUUCAUAUAGGCAUCAACAAGGAUUGGUUUAUGUACAUAGAGUCUAUUUGGUGGCUAGGAUAUGAUAGGAGAACUAUCUUAUCCUACUGUAAUCAAUUGAUUGGUGCACCGACAGAAUAGGAUUUACUUAUUUUAUUGUCUAUCAUGUUCUACUGAUGUUAUGUAUUUCUACUCUGGAAGGAGUUGGAUUAGAAAACAUGAUAGAAUAGUCCUUCUUUAUCCCUCCCUUCGUCUCACCCCCAUUUCCCCAUUAUUCAUAAUCACUAUCACUGUUACAGUCAUCAUUAAAAAAUGAGUACUUAGUAUCUUUCCUAUUA